rnacentral:rRNA from 1 species
UACGAACUGUGCAAACGUUAUUCGGAAUCACUGGGCUUAAAGGGUGCGUAGGCGGUCAUUUAAGUAGGGUGUGAAAGCCCCCCGGCUCAACCGGGGAACUGCGUCCUAAACUGGGUGACUGGAGUGAGAUAGAGGUGUGUGGAACUUCCGAGUGGAGCGGUGAAAUGUGUUGAUAUUGGAAGGAACGCCGGUGGCGAAAGCGACACACGUGG